rnacentral:rRNA from 1 species
UACGGGGGGGGCAAGCGUUGUUCGGAAUUACUGGGCGUAAAGGGCUCGUAGGCGGCCAACUAAGUCAUACGUGAAAUCCCCCGGCUUAACCGGGGAACUGCGUCUGAUACUGGAUGGCUUGAGUUUGGGAGAGGGAUGCGGAAUUCCAGGUGUAGCGGUGAAAUGCGUAGAUAUCUGGAGGAACACCGGUGGCGAAGGCGGCAUCCUGGACCGACACUGACACUGAGGAGCGAAAGCCAGGGGAGCAAACGGG